GCUUACGGCCAUACCACCCUGAAAACAUCCGAUCUCGGAAGCUGAGCAGUGUGGGGCCUGGUUAGUACUUGGAUGGAGACCGCCUGGGAAUAGCAGGUGCUGUAAGCU
rnacentral:rRNA from 1 species